CGAUAAAUUAAUGACACUUUAAAGCCCGCCCACGUCACCACUAAGCCUCUUACUUCGGGAAAAUUAACUGGAAAAAUCCGUUGCUGAUGGAGAAAAUGCCGCAAAGGGCCGGCUUAAAAUCCCGCUGCCCGCAACAAAUGAAAAAUUCAGAGGAUCGUGGACGCGGCAGCCUAUGGUGUAAUUAACUGUCCAGCUGGCGCAUAAUUACAAUUUUGAAAUUGUAUGCCCUGAAUAUGUGGCAUAUGUGCGGAAGAAAGGUGCAUUGUGUGCCGAAUGCGAUGGCUCACAUAUCAGCCGUGGUUUUUUGGCCAGGAAUGGGGGAGUGAGGAGUGGUGGUCAUCUGAUAUGGUGGAUGGCCUAGACAAUGGAUAAUAGAUGCUGGUCAUCGUUUGUUGGCUCAGUCCACUGGCAUUAUGCGUUAUUCUGCGGCCAACGAUCAUCAUCAUCGGCCAUCCAGGCAUCAGGCAUUGCUGGGCGCUAUUUGCGGUUUUAAUUAUGUCCAGCUCGUGGAACGCAGCAACGCGGCGAAAAACAAUGCGAAAUAUGGGGGUGGGCUUGGGGCUUAAAUGGAAUAUGGGGACGAGGCAGUUGCAUUGUUGCAGCGAUUGAAAUAAAUGAUGCGAGAUGGGACUACUGAA